rnacentral:rRNA from 1 species
AUGAACGCUAGCUACAGGCUUAACACAUGCAAGUCGAGGGGCAGCAUGGUCUUAGCUUGCUAAGGCCGAUGGCGACCGGCGCACGGGUGAGUAACACGUAUCCAACCUGCCGUCUACUCUUGGACAGCCUUCUGAAAGGAAGAUUAAUACAAGAUGGCAUCAUGAGUCCGCAUGUUCACAUGAUUAAAGGUAUUCCGGUAGACGAUGGGGAUGCGUUCCAUUAGAUAGUAGGCGGGGUAACGGCCCACCUAGUCUUCGAUGGAUAGGGGUUCUGAGAGGAAGGUCCCCCACAUUGGAACUGAGACACGGUCCAAACUCCUACGGGAGGCAGCAGUGAGGAAUAUUGGUCAAUGGGCGAGAGCCUGAACCAGCCAAGUAGCGUGAAGGAUGACUGCCCUAUGGGUUGUAAACUUCUUUUAUAAAGGAAUAAAGUCGGGUAUGGAUACCCGUUUGCAUGUACUUUAUGAAUAAGGAUCGGCUAACUCCGUGCCAGCAGCCGCGGUAAUACGGAGGAUCCGAGCGUUAUCCGGAUUUAUUGGGUUUAAAGGGAGCGUAGGUGGAUGUUUAAGUCAGUUGUGAAAGUUUGCGGCUCAACCGUAAAAUUGCAGUUGAUACUGGAUAUCUUGAGUGCAGUUGAGGCAGGCGGAAUUCGUGGUGUAGCGGUGAAAUGCUUAGAUAUCACGAAGAACUCCGAUUGCGAAGGCAGCCUGCUAAGCUGCAACUGACAUUGAGGCUCGAAAGUGUGGGUAUCAAACAGGAUUAGAUACCCUGGUAGUCCACACGGUAAACGAUGAAUACUCGCUGUUUGCGAUAUACGGCAAGCGGCCAAGCGAAAGCGUUAAGUAUUCCACCUGGGGAGUACGCCGGCAACGGUGAAACUCAAAGGAAUUGACGGGGGCCCGCACAAGCAGUGGAUUAUGUGGUUUAAUUCGAAGCAACGCGAAGAACCUUACCUGGUCUUGACAUCCACGGAAGUUUUCAGAGAUGAGAAUGUGCCUUCGGGAACCGUGAGACAGGUGCUGCAUGGCUGUCGUCAGCUCGUGUUGUGAAAUGUUGGGUUAAGUCCCGCAACGAGCGCAACCCUUAUGGUCAGUUACUACGCAAGAGGACUCUGGCCAGACUGCCGUUGACAAAACGGAGGAAGGUGGGGACGACGUCAAAUCAUCAUGCCCUUUAUGUCUUGGGCUACACACGUACUACAAUGGCUAUAACAAAGAGAAGCGAGACAGUGAUGUGGAGCAAAACUCAAAAAAAUAGUCUCAGUUCGGAUUGAAGGCUGAAAUUCGCCUUCAUGAAGCUGGAAUUGCUAGUAAUGGCAGGUCAGCAUACUGCCGUGAAUACGUUCCCGGGCCUUGUACACACCGCCCGUCACACCAUGGGAGUUGGUAACGCCCGAAGUCAGUGACCCAACCUUUCAGGAGGGAGCUGCCGAAGGCGGGACUGAUAACUGGGGUG